rnacentral:rRNA from 1 species
GAUGAACGCUAGCUACAGGCUUAACACAUGCAAGUCGAGGGGAAACGACAUCGAAAGCUUGCUUUUGAUGGGCGUCGACCGGCGCACGGGUGAGUAACGCGUAUCCAACCUGCCCAUCACUUGGGAAUAACCUUGCGAAAGUAAGACUAAUACCCAAUGACAUCCCACGAAGACAUCUGAAUGGGAUUAAAGAUUUAUCGGCGAUGGAUGGGGAUGCGUCUGAUUAGCUUGUUGGCGGGGUAACGGCCCACCAAGGCAACGAUCAGUAGGGGUUCUGAGAGGAAGGUCCCCCACAUUGGAACUGAGACACGGUCCAAACUCCUACGGGAGGCAGCAGUGAGGAAUAUUGGUCAAUGGGCGAGAGCCUGAACCAGCCAAGUAGCGUGCAGGAUGACGGCCCUAUGGGUGGUAAACUGCUUUUAUAAGGGAAUAAAGUGGGUCUCGUGAGACUUUUUGCAGGUACCUUAUGAAUAAGGACCGGCUAAUUCCGUG